GCUUAACACAUGCAAGUCGAACGGAAAGGCCCUGCUUUUGUGGGGUGCUCGAGUGGCGAACGGGUGAGUAACACGUGAGUAACCUGUCCUUGACUUUGGGAUAACUUCAGGAAACUGGGGCUAAUACCGGAUAGGAGCUCCUGCUGCAUGGUGGGGGUUGGAAAGUUUCGGCGGUUGGGGAUGGACUCGCGGCUUAUCAGCUUGUGGGUGGGGUAGUGGCUUACCAAGGCUUUGACGGGUAGCCGGCCUGAGAGGGUGACCGGCCACAUUGGGACUGAGAUACGGCCCAGACUCCUACGGGAGGCAGCAGUGGGGAAUAUUGCACAAUGGGCGGAAGCCUGAUGCAGCAACGCCGCGUGCGGGAUAACGGCCUUCGGGUUGUAAACCGCUUUCGCCUGUGACGAAGCGUGAGUGACGGUAAUGGGUAAAGAAGCACCGGCUAACUACGUGCCAGCAGCCGCGGUGAUACGUAGGGUGCGAGCGUUGUCCGGAUUUAUUGGGCGUAAAGGGCUCGUAGGUGGUUGAUCGCGUCGGAAGUGUAAUCUUGGGGCUUAACCCUGAGCGUGCUUUCGAUACGGGUUGACUUGAGGAAGGUAGGGGAGAAUGGAAUUCCUGGUGGAGCGGUGGAAUGCGCAGAUAUCAGGAGGAACACCAGUGGCGAAGGCGGUUCUCUGGGCCUUUCCUGACGCUGAGGAGCGAAAGCGUGGGGAGCGAACAGGCUUAGAUACCCUGGUAGUCCACGCUGUAAACGGUGGGUACUAGGUGUGGGGUCCAUUCCACGGGUUCCGUGCCGUAGCUAACGCUUUAAGUACCCCGCCUGGGGAGUACGGCCGCAAGGCUAAAACUCAAAGGAAUUGACGGGGCCCCGCACAAGCGGCGGAGCAUGCGGAUUAAUUCGAUGCAACGCGUAGAACCUUACCUGGGUUUGACAUGGAUCGGGAGUGCUCAGAGAUGGGUGUGCCUCUUUUGGGGUCGGUUCACAGGUGGUGCAUGCCUGUCGUCAGCUCGUGUCGUGAGAUGUUGGGUUAAGUCCCGCAACGAGCGCAACCCUUGUUCACUGUUGCCAGCACGUUAUGGUGGGGACUCAGUGGAGACCGCCGGGGUCAACUCGGAGGAAGGUGGGGAUGACGUCAAGUCAUCAUGCCCCUUAUGUCCAGGGCUUCACGCAUGCUACAAUGGCUGGUACAGAGAGUGGCGAGCCUGUGAGGGUGAGCGAAUCUCGGAAAGCCGGUCUCAGUUCGGAUUGGGGUCUGCAACUCGACCUCAUGAAGUCGGAGUCGCUAGUAAUCGCAGAACAGCAACGCUGCGGUGAAUACGUUCCCGGGGCU
rnacentral:rRNA from 1 species